rnacentral:rRNA from 1 species
AGUGAACGCUGGCGGUAGGUCUAACACAUGCGAGUCGAACGGCAGCACAGUAAGAGCUUGCUCUUACGGGUGGCGAGUGGCGGACGGGUGAGGAAUACAUCGGAAUCUACUUUUUCGUGGGGGAUAAUGUAGGGAAACUUACGCUAAUACCGCAUACGACCUACGGGUGAAAGCAGGGGAUCUUCGGACCUUGCGCGAUUGAAUGAGCCGAUGUCGGAUUAGCUAGUUGGCGGGGUAAAGGCCCACCAAGGCGACGAUCCGUAGCUGGUCUGAGAGGAUGAUCAGCCACACUGGAACUGAGACACGGUCCAGACUCCUACGGGAGGCGGCAGUGGGGAAUAUUGGACAAUGGGCGCAAGCCUGAUCCAGCCAUACCGCGUGGGUGAAGAAGGCCUUCGGGUUGUAAAGCCCUUUUGUUGGGAAAGAAAAGCAGCAGGUUAAUACCCCGCUGUUCUGACGGUACCCAAAGAAUAAGCACCGGCUAACUUCGUG